GUACUUUCAUGUCGCUCUUUAGAGUUUCGGUGGUUGUUGGGGCAUUUUAUGUACUCUUUUAUGUUGUAACUAUCAUGUUUGCACAUGUUUUUGGAUGUAGUUUCUUAGAAAUCAUCAUGUUUUUCUUUAGUUCUCGAUUUGGGAGAAUGUCCUACACUUCAUAAGCACUAUGUGCUGAUUGAGUAUGUAUGACCUGAUAUAGACAUUUCUUUUUGGCUUUCGGAAUAUUCUUUCUACCUUCAAAUAACAGUUUUUUGUUUCAUUCCCUAGGAUUUUAUUUCCCAGAAAUUGAUGAUGCUAUCACUUAUGGCCCCUUACAUAGCAAGUAAUUUAGGACAUGAACUGCUAGAUAACUAAAAUUUUUAGCUUGCUGAUCUUAGAUGUGAUUCUUUUGUUGGAGUCUCUGAGAGUCCUCAAAUUUAUGCUGCACUUUCUUGAAGUUCAUGUUGUCGAUGAUAAAUUUUGUUUGUCACAUUUUGACAGGUCCGAUGGAAAAGAGGUUCUGGUGGACAACCAAUAUCUUCAAGCUAACAAUCCACUGCUGUUAAUCAGCUUCAAUGAGCAACAUCUUAAGUAUAGCCCUCCAUCUUGAUCACCUAGGCGUAUUUAGUGUAUUGAUGAAGCUGAAGGCCGCCAUAUUCGUUUUGUUUGUGUAUGCAUUGUUGUAACUCUUUUACAUUAGUCGCAGGAGAUAGAGCAGGAUAAACAAGAGCUCUCAUUUUCAAGUUCCAAGCACUUAAAAUAGUCUGGUGAUGGGAUUAGGUUCUCAUGCAAAGCUGUAUUUGUUGCUUAGGAUCGCAUCUGUAUUUCAUUUUCCCAUCAUUUUCUUCCACUAAGCUCAGUAAUACAUAAAAACAGUUUUGACUGAUUAAAUAUAUGUUGGUCUCCAAUAAAAAUAAAAUAAUUUUUAACUCA